rnacentral:rRNA from 1 species
UGGCGAACGGGUGAGUAACACGUGAGUAACCUGCCCCCGACUCUGGGAUAAGCCCGGGAAACUGGGUCUAAUACCGGAUAUGACCUCGCACCGCAUGGUGCGGGGUGGAAAGAUUUAUCGGUGGGGGAUGGACUCGCGGCCUAUCAGCUUGUUGGUGAGGUAAUGGCUCACCAAGGCGACGACGGGUAGCCGGCCUGAGAGGGUGACCGGCCACACUGGGACUGAGACACGGCCCAGACUCCUACGGGAGGCAGCAGUGGGGAAUAUUGCACAAUGGGCGCAAGCCUGAUGCAGCGACGCCGCGUGAGGGAUGACGGCCUUCGGGUUGUAAACCUCUUUCAGUAGGGAAGAAGCGAAAGUGACGGUACCUGCAGAAGAAGCGCCGGCUAACUACGUGCCAGCAGCCGCGGUAAUACGUAGGGCGCAAGCGUUAUCCGGAUUUAUUGGGCGUAAAGAGCUCGUAGGCGGUUUGUCGCGUCUGCCGUGAAAGUCCGAGGCUCAACCUCGGAUCUGCGGUGGGUACGGGCAGACUAGAGUGAUGUAGGGGAGACUGGAAUUCCCUGGUGUAGCGGUGAAAUGCGCAGAUAUCAGGAGGAACCCCGAUGGCGAAAGGCAGGUCUUUGGGCAUUUACUGACGCUGAGGAGCGAAAGCAUGGGGAGCGAACAGGAUUAGAUACCCUGGUAGUCCAUGCCGUAAACGUUGGGCACUAGUGUGGGGGGACAUUCCACGUUUUCCGCGCCGUAGCUAACGCAUUAAGUGCCCCGCCUGGGGAGUACGGCCGCAAGGCUAAACUCAAGGAUUGACGGGGCCCGC